CCAACAAUGGCGAAAGAGCAGCAACCGGCGACCGGACCAUGGAUCCUCGAAGCAAUGCCGCUUCUCGCCGUCGUCCUCAUGGCCGCUCAUGUCCUCGCUCUCGUUUAUUGGAUGUAUCGAUUGGCGACUGAUAAGCAAUCCCAGAAGAAGAAAUUGCAUUGAAUUCUCCGUAGAAACUUUGCAAGAAACGUGGAAUACUGUACCCCAUAGAAAAUGGUGACGAGUUGUAGGUUUGGACUCCAAGUAAUUUU